AAAAACUUUCAGAACUCUCAUAGAGAGCUGAAAUGUUCAUAACUAUCAAACAGAAGUUAACUACACAGACUAAACUGAAGAAGUCAAAUCUUUUUAACUUUGCAUAAAAUGUUUCUGAUCCUUUGUUUUGUUUUUCAGAGUCAAGGAAACUUUUCUUUUGAGUUACUUACAGCUUGCAGCAAUUAAAUAAAGUAUACUGCUGUGAACAAAAUUUGGAACACAUUUGUUUCUCUCUACCCGAUUUCUUCAGAAUUUGGAAACUAGUUGUCCAGGAGCCCCAGGUUAUCUUGAGACCUCAAAAGCAGAGAAAUUUACCCAACUCAGAUAUCACCUCUUGUCGAAACUCAAGAGUCAUGAAUGGCCCUUGCCGUACUGACGCUUUCUGACCGAGCACUUCUCUACCCUGAAUGCAAGAGACCCUCAUAGUUAGGCAGGAAUAUCAUCACCCCUAUACAGCCUGAAGAAGUUGCAGAAGAUGGAUCUUUGUCACUCUGCCACCCUUAGGUUUCAGCAUUCUCUUAUAAAAGAAAGGGUAGAUAUGUGAGAGGCAUGUGAACCAGAGAGACUCCAUCUUAAGUAGGAGCUGGGUAAAAUGAGGCUGAAACCUACUGGGCUGCAUUCCCAGACGGUUAAGGCAUUCUAAGCCACAGGAUGAGAUAGGAGGUCAGCACAAAAUACAGGUCACGAAGACCUUGCUGAUAAAACAGAUUGCAGUAAAGGAGCUGGCCAAAACUUACCAAAACCAAAAUGGCCAUGAGAGUGACCUCUGGUCGUCCUCACUGCUACACUCCCACCAGCACCAUUACAGUUUAGAAAUGCCAUAGCAAUGUCAGGAAGUUACUCUAUAUUGUCCAAAAACGGGAGGCAUGAAUAAUCCCCCCCUGUUUAGCAUAUCAUCAAGAAAUAACCAUAAAAGUGGGCAACCAGCAGCCCUCAGGCUGCUCUGUCUAUGGAGUAGUCAUUCUUUUAUUCCUUUACUUUCUUAAUAAACUUGGUUUUACUUUUCACCACAGACCCACACUGAAUUCUUUAUUGUGCAAGAUCCAAGAACCCUCUCUUAGGGUCUAGAUCGGGAGUCCUUUCCUGUAACACUUCCUUGGCUAACAAAAUUCCUACUUUUUUCUAACUCUAAUACAAGAGUCUAUCGUAUUUCUAAGUGAUCACAGCUAAUUUGUAUGACAGCUGGUUAUGCUCAGCUUUUACCCUCUUGAUAUUCUGUAAAUUAUUUUAGGGCAAGUGAUCACGCUUAUUUUCGUUAUGCUUAGGAGUAACCCAUA
rnacentral:lncRNA from 10 species